GGGCCCGCACAAGCGGUGGAGCAUGUGGUUUAAUUCGAUGCAACGCGAAGAACCUUACCAGGGCUUGACAUACUACGAAUCCUUCUGAGAAGAAGGAGUGCCUUCGGGAAUGUAGAUACAGGUGGUGCAUGGCUGUCGUCAGCUCGUGUCGUGAGAUGUUGGUUAAGUCCCGCAACGAGCGCAACCCUUAUUUUUAGUUACCAACUUGUUGGGUUCUCUAGAAAGACUGCCGGUGACAAACCGGAGGAAGGUGAGGAUGACGUCAAGUCAGCAUGCCCCUUAUGUCCUGGCUACACACGUGCUACAAUGGUUAAGACAAAGAGUCGCGAGCUUGCAAAAGUCAGCU
rnacentral:rRNA from 1 species